GAUAACUGCUGAAAGCAUAUAAGUAGUAAGCCCACCCCAAGAUGAGUGCUCUCUCCUCCGACUUCCCUAGAGCCUCCGGUAUCACAGCCGAGACAGCGACGGGUUCUCCACCCAUACGGGGAUGGAGCGACAGAAGUAUGGAAAUAUGAUAAGGUAGCGGCGAGACGAGCCGUUUAAAUAGGUGUCAAGUGGAAGUGCAGUGAUGUAUGCAGCUGAGGCAUCCUAACGAACGAACGAUUUGAACCU
rnacentral:ncRNA from 1 species